rnacentral:lncRNA from 1 species
CGGGGCUCUGAGGCUCCGGCCUGACCUCUCCACAGGGUCGACGGGAACGUCUCUGGAUGCCAGGAGACGCAAAGGGCCGACCAGAAUGAGGAAUUCCCAGGCGGAGUCCAGGGGAGGCAGCACGGCAUCCCAGCCUCAGGGCUGCCCGGACGGUGUUGGUUGGGGUAAGAUUGGGGAAGAUGCCAGGUGAUAGAAUCCACCCUGCCUCUGACAGCAUCCAAUCUGGAGCAAAGGCUUAUUUCAACCCUCCCCCAAGCUCCCAAUACAAGCCCAAAUUCUGGAACAGGUCCUUUCCAACACCUCCUUCAGAGAAGCUCCCUGGCUCCAGGCAGUGCUUGCUCCCCUCACUGCAGCAGGAAGCCUAACUUGCGAACUGCAGGUGUGCUCCAGGUGGUCACUGGAUGCAAGGCAUUGACAGAUGGAUCCCAUCGAUACCCCCACUGCAAAACCAUAGUGCAGUGAAUAGAAGACACUUCUCUGCACCCCAAAAGCUCCAUGCUGAUUGUGAGAAGGAAAUGCUGGAUGGAGGGGUUCCUGGAACUACUGUGAGGGAAAUGGUGCGAGAACUUUGGAUGUGGAACGUGGAGGAGGAGGAACACGAAGUGGGGAU